rnacentral:lncRNA from 1 species
CCAGAUGAUCCUAAAUCUCGGGACGAGAUUCUAUUGAGUGGGGGUGAGUUGUCACACCCUAGCUAGGUUAUGCAUUAGAGUGUGCAUCAUGUUUACUUUCAUCAGAAAUGGAAAUGGGGAAAGCAGAACCCCCAGCACCCCCCCCCUGAAAUCAACUAGGGUUUACUAAAAAUAAAUUCAAUGAACCUGAAAUGCCCUUCAAAAAUGUUCAUCCUCUUUGCCUUGGGUUAGAACCCUUGGGAAAAAUGGUGCAUAUAAUUUUAGGUCAACAAAAGGGGCAUCGAUUUAAUUCAUAAAUAUUUGAAUUUGGGCAUUUAAAUACUAUUAAAUAAUUCAAAUGCUCAAAUAAUGUUGGAACUAUUUUUUGGGCCACUGAAAUAUUUCAGUAAGUGUCCAUAAAUAUUUUCAGGAUUUUAUAAAAUGAUUUAGUAUUUAAACUAAAUCAAAACAGAAUAACAGAAAUAGAAAAACACAAAAAAAGAGGGAAAGGCCAUGGGCCACUUACCUGGCCCAUCUCCAGCUGGCGGCCCAGCCCACCCCGCUGCCUCCUGUCGUCCCCCUCCUCGGACAGAAGGACGCGGGCGUGUGCCCGGCGCUCGCCGGCACGCGCGCGCGCCACCUCCCCCCCUGCGCGCCACCUCCUGCUUCCGGGCUCCCUCCCAAUGCCACGGAGNNNNNNNNNNCCCCCCCCCUGAAAUCAACUAGGGUUUACUAAAAAUAAAUUCAAUGAACCUGAAAUGCCCUUCAAAAAUGUUCACCCUCUUUGCCUUGGGUUAGAACCCUUGGGAAAAAUGGUGCAUAUAAUUUUAGGUCAACAAAAGGGGCAUUGAUUUAAUUCAUAAAUAUUUGAAUUUGGGCAUUUAAAUACUAUUAAAUAAUUCAAAUGCUCAAAUAAUGUUGGAACUAUUUUUUGGGCCACU